UCUUUGUUAGUAUAUCGGUUAGUACACGCGCCUGUCAUCUGUUCAAGGUGCGCGCGAAAGCUGGGUUCGACUCCCAGACAGAGAG